GUGUUAGUCUGGAUCUGUAAAAGCAGCAAAGAGUCCUGUGCCACCGUAUAGACUAACAGACAUAUUGGAGCAUGAGCUUUCGUGGGUGAAUACCCACUUCGUCAUCUCUUUGCUGCUAGUACACAGACACUGGAAUGAAAAUGUCAGACGACGAUUUAUAGCAAUGAUCUGAUACUCUUAAAGGCAAUUUGGG
rnacentral:lncRNA from 1 species